rnacentral:rRNA from 1 species
AAUGAACGUUGGCGGCGUGGAUUAGGCAUGCAAGUCGUGCGGAAAGGCCCCGCAAGGGGUACUCGAGCGGCGAAAGGGAUAGUAACGCGUAGGUUACCUACCCUCGGGGCGGGGAUAGCUGGGGGAAACUCCAAUUAAUACCCGAUGACGUCUGCGGACCAAAGGUGAAAUUCCGCCCGGGGACGGGCCUGCGUCCUAUUAGCUAGUUGGCGAGGUAACGGCGCACCAAGGCGACGACGGGGAGCGGGUGUGAGAGCACGACCCGCAUCACUGGGACUGAGACACUGCCCAGACACCUACGGGUGGCUGCAGUCGAGAAUCUUCGGCAAUGGGCUAAAGCCUGACCGAGCGACGCCGCGUGUGGGAUGAAGGCCUUCGGGUUGUAAACCACUGUCAGAGGGGAUGAAAUGCGGGAGGGUUCACCCUUCCGUUUGACAAACCCUAAGAGGAAGGACGGGCUAAGUUCGUGCCAGCCGCCGCCGUAAAAC